rnacentral:pre_miRNA from 1 species
AGUGGGAUAGCUGGGUUGUAGUGUUUCCAUUCCAAGUUUUCUGAGGAAUCUUCAUACUACUUUCUAUAGUGGUUGCACCAAUUUGUAGUCCCACCAGCAAU